UACGAAGGGGACUAGCGUUGUUCGGAAUUACUGGGCGUAAAGCGCACGUAGGCGGAUUUGUAAGUCAGGGGUGAAAUCCCGGGGCUCAACCUCGGAACUGCCUUUGAUACUGCAAGUCUCGAGUCCGAUAGAGGUGGGUGGAAUUCCUAGUGUAGAGGUGAAAUUCGUAGAUAUUAGGAAGAACACCGGUGGCGAAGGCGGCCCACUGGUCCGGUACUGACGCUGAGGUGCGAAAGCGUGGGGAGCGAACAGG
rnacentral:rRNA from 1 species